UGGAGCCCCAAUUCCGUGAUUCGAGUAUUGAAGACUUCGGGGGCUAUAUGGCGUCCUUGGGGUCAGCCCAGUGUUUCACAGACUCGCCUCAGGGGCACGACCUGCCCGGGGAGAUCAUCAGAACGUUGCGGUUUCUGUGUUGGAAGGAGCUGGAGUCUGACCCUGACUACAAACUGACGGUAAUUAUGCCGCUGUUCUAUGUGAUAGGCCGAAAACCCAACUGAGAAAAAAAGGAACAAUAAAACACGUUAUAAGUAGUAUCAUUUCAAACUGCAAUUUUCUGUUUCCUUUAAAAUGAAUGUUUACGUUUGUGUUCAGAUUUUUAUACAUGUAUUUCUGAAAGUUCUUAUAAAAGAUAUUUUUCACACGGCAGAAUCUGUCUAUAGUGUGUGUGGUUUUGGUGGUGGUGGUGGGGGGGGGGGGGCUCUCUUUUGUACUUUACGUGUAUUCGUGUGUUGUGGAUCUGUUGACCCAUGUAAUGUUUCUAUGACCAGCGACUGUGAUGGUGUAGAAGGCUCUUCACUGCUGCACACAGGGAACGUUAAUGUAACUAAAUCAGUAGCAGCAACAAUAAAAACAGCAACACAAAUGGAAGGGUCUUCAAGAUGAAUGGAUUUCAAGAUCUAACUUUAUUGACAUAAUGUGUUUGAAACGUUUGUGAUUUGACGUCAAUAUAUGUGUAUUGGAGAACUAACGUGUUGAAAGAGACGUUCAACUGCUCAUCUGUUCAUUUUCCGUCUGUUGUAACGUGAAGUGCUGCUCGCUUUUGAUCACACUUUUACACAGUCUUGCUCUAGCAAGUUUUAUUGAUAAUAUCACUUACUCACUAGUUGCGUCUGUUUAUGUUUUGUUUUUUUGCUUUCAAUUUCAUGGGCCAUUUGCACGCAUUUUCAGUGUUAUAUUUUCAAAUGUUUUGUUUACUGUUAACAUUUUUAGUAAUAAAUGGUCUAAUUUGUCAAA